rnacentral:rRNA from 1 species
UACGGAGGAUGCAAGCGUUAUCCGGAAUGAUUGGGCGUAAAGCGUCCGCAGGCGGCAUUUCAAGUCUGCGGUCAAAGGCCGAGGCUCAACCUCGAACAGGCCGUGGAAACUGAAAAGCUAGAGUGUGGUAGGGGCAGAGGGAAUUCCCAGUGUAGCGGUGAAAUGCGUAGAGAUUGGGAAGAACACCGGUGGCGAAAGCGCUCUGCUAGGCCAGGACUGACGCUGAGGGACGAAAGCUAGGGGAGCGAAUGGG